UACGAAGGGGGCUAGCGUUGCUCGGAAUCACUGGGCGUGAAGGGUGCGUAGGCGGGUCUUUUAAGUCAGGGGUGAAAUCCUGGAGCUCAACUCCAGAACUGCCUUUGAUACUGAAGAUCUUGAGUUCGGGAGAGGUGAGUGGAACUGCGAGUGUAGAGGUGAAAUUCGUAGAUAUUCGCAAGAACACCAGUGGCGAAGGCGGCUCACUGGCCCGAUACUGACGCUGAGGCACGAAAGCGUGGGGAGCAAACAGGG
rnacentral:rRNA from 1 species